CCUACGGGGGGCAGCAGUGAGGAAUAUUGGUCAAUGGGCGCGAGCCUGAACCAGCCAAGUAGCGUGAAGGAUGACUGCCCUACGGGUUGUAAACUUCUUUUAUAAAGGAAUAAAGUGAGGCACGUGUGCCUUUUUGUAUGUACUUUAUGAAUAAGGAUCGGCUAACUCCGUGCCAGCAGCCGCGGUAAUACGGAGGAUGCGAGCGUUAUCCGGAUUUAUUGGGUUUAACGGGUGCGUAGGCGGAUCGGUAAGUCAGUGGUAAAAUUGAGGGGCUCAACCCCUUCCCGCCAUUGAAACUGGCGCUCUAGAGUGGAGGAGAGGUAUGCGGAAUGCAUGGUGUAGCGGUGAAAUGCAUAGAUAUCACACAGAACCCCGAUUGCGAAGGCAGCAUGCCGGCUUCCGACUGACGCUGAGGCACGAAAGCGUGGGGAUCGAACAGGAUUAGAUACCCUGGUAGUC
rnacentral:rRNA from 1 species